UACGUAGGGUGCAAGCGUUAAUCGGAAUUACUGGGCGUAAAGCGUGCGCAGGCGGUCUUGCAAGACAGAUGUGGAAUCCCCGGGCUUAACCUGGGAACUGCAUUUGUGACUGCAAGGCUGGAGUGCGGCGGAGGGGGGUGGAAUUCCCAGUGUAGCGGUGAAAUGCGUAGAUAUUGGGAGGAACACCAGUGGCGAAGGCGGCUCACUGGACCGGUACUGACGCUGAGGCGCGAAAGCGUGGGGAGCAAACGGG
rnacentral:rRNA from 1 species